UAGCAUAUCAAUAAGCGGAGGAAAAGAAACCAACAGGGAUUGCCCUAGUAACGGCGAGUGAAGCGGCAACAGCUCAAAUUUGAAAUCUGGCGCAAGCCCGAGUUGUAAUUUGUAGAGGAUGCUUCUAGGUAGCGACCGGUCUAAGUUCCUUGGAACAGGACGUCAUAGAGGGUGAGAAUCCCGUAUGUGACCGGCCCGCACCUUCUACGUAGCUCCUUCGACGAGUCGAGUUGUUUGGGAAUGCAGCUCUAAAUGGGAGGUAAAUUUCUUCUAAAGCUAAAUACCGGCCAGAGACCGAUAGCGCACAAGUAGAGUGAUCGAAAGAUGAAAAGCACUUUGGAAAGAGAGUUAAAAAGCACGUGAAAUUGUUGAAAGGGAAGCGCUCACAACCAGACUUCUGGGCGGUGUUCCGCCGGUCUUUUGACCGGUCUACUCGCCGUCCCGAGGCCAACAUCAUCUGGGACCGCUGGAUAAGACCUUAGGAAUGUAGCUCCCCUCGGGGAGUGUUAUAGCCUGUGGUGAUGCAGCGCGUCUCGGGUGAGGUCCGCGCUUCGGCAAGGAUGUUGGCGUAAUGGUUGUCAGCGGCCCGUCUUGAAACACGGACCAAGGAGUCUAACAUCUAUGCGAGUGUUCGGGUGUCAAACCCCUACGCGUAAUGAAAGUGAACGGAGGUGGGAAGCGUAAGCUGCACCAUCGACCGAUCCUGAUGUCCUCGGAUGGAUUUGAGUAAGAGCAUAGCUGUUGGGACCCGAAAGAUGGUGAACUAUGCCUGAAUAGGGUGAAGCCAGAGGAAACUCUGGUGGAGGCUCGCAGCGGUUCUGACGUGCAAAUCGAUCGUCAAAUUUGGGUAUAGGGGGCGAAAGACUAAUCGAACCAUCUAGUAGCUGGUUCCUGCCA
rnacentral:rRNA from 1 species